AUGAGCAGCCAGAAAUGCGGCCUGGCCGCCUCGCACCGCGGGCCCCCACCCUCCGGCCGGCCCUUACACCUCCACGCGCGCACGCGCGCGCACGCACAUGCACGCGCCCUUGCACGCGCACACGGCCCGGCCCUCCCUGCCGGAGAAGCCGGAGAAGCGGAGGCCCGGGCACCAGUGACUGACCGCAGGGAGGCCCCCAGGACCCUGGGGGUGGUGGCGGGGUCCGCAGUCAGCACCCGUCAUCUCCAUCUUUUGCGCAGAGUUAAGUGUUCACGAUUUGCGCACUUUCCCCCUUCACCAGCCAGCGGUCAGUCACUCUUUCAAGUUCCCAUCCCUGUUUUUCCAGUGAAAACCCAGGUCUGGGAGCAUCAGGAGCCUUCCAGGACCACCGUCCAAGGACAGGCAAUCCUGUCCGAAUUUCCAUCCAGUCCGUCGUGUCCCGGGAGGCCGCUUGGUUUCCGGUGGCUUCGCCUGAUUCCUUCCUGCUUCAGAGCAGGUGGGUAUCUGCUAGACCCAUGUAAUAGAAAAGACAGGACCACCCAUUACCUGGCCUGAUUCGUGUGAGAGCUAGAAGGGACAUUUUAGGGACUGUGGUGUCCGCCUCCCCACUCCCCAGCUCAGAAGGGAUCUACCUUAAAGAUCUCAGCAGGUGAAUGCUAGAGCUGGAAGGAAAACCACCCAGAGUCCGACAUCCAGGCAAUGCGGGGGGAAGGAUGGAGAGAGAGUGGAGAGAGAAGAGGAGAGAAGCAGUAUUUGGCAAAGGGGAAGGGCGCAUGAGAGGAAAAGGGAAAACUGGGUGGGCAGAGGUGUCUCCCACUAAUAAAUCUCCUCAAUGGAGUCGGGUGCUACA
rnacentral:lncRNA from 1 species